GGACACUGAAUCAUGGUCCCACACGUGGUGAAAUUUUAACAGCCCAUUUACAAAACCAGCAGUGAAAAAUACAUUUUUAAGAUCAUAAACUGGAGAUUUCUGUCUGAUUAUGCACAGCAACAGAGCUUCCUGCUGGACCACAAACACAUCAGCUCUUGGAUACACAUCUUAUCAUUUGUAAGGGCAAGAUAAGACCUCCUUCUGUAGUUUGAGAUACCGUGCAGCCAGCUGCAAAGAUGAAAGGCAUUUUAAGAACCUCAAACAGAAGCUGCAACACAUGUACAAAACACCCACCAGCAGAAAAUAGAAGCCAUCAGGUGAAUACCAAAGACACUUGGGGUGGUGUUUUCCUGUCAACCUUCACAACGAGGUGCUGGUGUCCUGCUGGCUUGUCCUGACACAGACCUAAUGUCCUUAUCAAUCUCCCAGGAAACUCAAAAGGCCACCUUGUAACAACUCCAUAGAGGAAAGGACAAGAAAUAAAUUAGUGGUGAGCUACUGUAAAAAGUCUCUGCUAUUCUCACUGCUUUCCUGAGCAUGAAAAACGGCCACUUGCACAGCUGGCAGUUCAAAACAGCCACAGGGAAAGCAACAUGAACGUGCAAGGUGCCUUCAAAGCCUCUGCACACCACAAGCACCAAGGUUUUUGUCUGAAGACCUGAUAAAACAUUUCAGCACAAUCUCACCUGACUCCCUCAGCAGCUGCCAACACACCACCUUCACCUGAAGUUUAUAUUCAUGAAAGAUUUAUUUUUUCACAGAAAGUUUUACAGACUACAGGAUGUUUUUGUUUGCUUUUGUGCAUCUUUCCUCCUCUGCACUUGCCUUCUGCUUUAAAAAAACCAAACCAAUACACACAGAGCAAUAAAUAAAUUGUACAAAAAGGACAGAGGGAGCUGAAACUGUACCACAGGCAGGGAGAUCCUCUGGCAUGGCAAACACAACGUGGCUGUGUGGGAGAAGAGAACAAACACUGCUGCUGCAGCCUGCACCUCAACGGCAGACAGAGCACAAAGGUUUUAAUUUCCAAUUUGUCUUUCCAGCCACGGAAUUGCUUCAGUCAACAAAUUCAAAAAGCUGAAUGUGACUCCUUAAUGCAGAGAAGUAACACACUUUGCUUUGAGCACCACCACUCCGAGAAAGGAACGAGCACCGCGACAUUCCGAAUGCCAUCAGACACGGCUGGGAUUUUGAUCGGGAUGACAGAGACCAGAGCACUCAUCUCCCUGGGGAUGAUUCAGCCUGGCUUAACUGGGAUCCUUUCCUCCCUGGAUGCAGUGGAGCAGGAGAUUUGUACAGAAGGGGGAUCAGGAGUGCCUCUUCAGGACAAAGUUCCAAAUUCUCCCAUGCCUGGCACGCGCGCGCCGGGAA